GACGAACGCUGGCGGCAUGCCUAACACAUGCAAGUCGAACGGAGAUUAUUUCGAUAAUCUUAGUGGCGAACGGGUGAAUAACGCGUGGGCAACCUGCCCUCUAGAUGGGGACAACAUCCCGAAAGGGGUGCUAAUACCGAAUGUGACAGCAAUCUCGCAUGAGGAUGCUGUGAAAGAUGGCCUCUAUUUAUAAGCUAUCGCUAGAGGAUGGGCCUGCGUCUGAUUAGCUAGUUGGUGGGGUAACGGCCUACCAAGGCGAUGAUCAGUAGCCGGUCUGAGAGGAUGAACGGCCACAUUGGGACGGAGACACGGCCCAGACUCCUACGGGAGGCAGCAGUGGGGAAUCUUCCGCAAUGGGCGAAAGCCUGACGGAGCAAUGCCGCGUGAGUGAGGAAGGAAUUCGUUCCGUAAAGCUCUUUUGUUUAUGACGAAUGUGCAGAUUGUGAAUAAUGAUCUGUAAUGACGGUAGUAAACGAAUAAGCCACGGCUAACUACGUGCCAGCCGCCGCAGUAACAC
rnacentral:rRNA from 1 species